rnacentral:misc_RNA from 1 species
GAUGAAGAACGCAGCGAAAUGCGAUAAGUAAUGUGAAUUGCAGAAUUCAGUGAAUCAUCGAAUCUUUGAACGCACAUUGCGCCCGUCAGUAUUUUGGCGGGCAUGCCUGUUCGAGCGUCAUUACGCCCCUCAAGUCCCCUGUGGACUUGGUGUUGGGGAUCGGCGAGGCUGGUUUUCCAGCACAGCCGUCCCUUAAAUUAAUUGGCGGUCUCGCCGUGGCCCUCCUCUGCGCAGUAGUAAAACACUCGCAACAGGAGCCCGGCGCGGUCCACUGCCGUAAAACCCCCCAACUUUUUAUAGUUGACCUCGAAUCAGGUAGGACUACCCGCUGAACUUAAGCAUAUCAAUAAGCGGAGGA